rnacentral:lncRNA from 1 species
UCUCACAACCAGCAGGGUGAGAGCUGCUGCCUGAAUACACACCUCCGCACUGGUCCAUCUGGAAGCCACUCACUGAAUUUCGUCGUAUGCAUGGCAUCAUCUCGUCUCAUCCAUGCCUGAAGUCAGUACUCUAACCCAGGACUCCACCACCAGGGCUAUUUGAUAAGCACCUCUCAUCUUCCAUAUUGAAGUCACUCCCACUUUUCUGCCUUCCUGCUAGGGCAUACCAGACACAUCUCCAGACUAAAAUCCUUCAUGAUUUCUUAGGUCGUGCUCAACACAUCCCGAGACAGGCAAGCAGCUGCCCUUCCUGUUCUGUAGCCAUUCACCAUUCUGCCAACAUGUCUUCUGCCCUACCGUGAACCCACUCCACCCAGAAAACUCUCUCUCUUUCAUAACUACACUCAUCAUGGCUGAACUGUAUACCAUACUCCACUGGCCACCAACAUCUCCCAACAUCUCUAGACAGUAAUCUUCUCUCCAUUUCUCUCUCACGGACUUGUUUCCAUAAUUCUCUUUUUCCCCAAGAGCUGAGGACCCAACCCAGAGCCUUGUGCUUGCUUAUUUUGAUUGCCCUUUAGCUUUCUAGUUAAACUGCUACUACAUUCUGAGAGUUUAACAUGGAGAGACAGGAGGGGUGGCUGGGUCCACACACAAUGAAUCAGGACACAGUACUGGGGCAUGGAGACCAGCCAAGGAGCAGAAUGAAGAUGGAAGAGUAAACUACAGGAGAAACCAGGUCAAGGCCAUGGCCUUAGGAAGGCUCUCCCAAUCUGAGCUUCCCAGGUUCCUCUGCAGAUCUCUCUCUGGAGUCACCCAUACAGAAUAGGACUUAGCAAGAACUUACAGAACAACUGAGCAAGGAAGACAUUAGUCUUGCCAAGGACAAGACUCCUGAAGUCCCCAUCAUGGUGAAUAUCAGACAGAGCCCGCUGUUUCAGGGACCCUCACAGGCCUCCUGGGAAGAGCUUAGAAGGAAAUAACACCUAAUAUCGCC